UCCUUUGCCUUUUCAUAGGUGUUUCCCUUUGUCUACAAUGCCACUCAGUCUUUCUUCAAUGAGGUUGUGUCUGUUCUUCAUUCAAGACUCAAGUCUUAGGUCAUUUCUUCUGGGAAGACUUCCUUGACUCUUCUCCUUACACAUGGAAGUCCCUCAAGUGGGAAGAACAGCUUCUGAGUCCCAAGAACAAUGGGAAAACGUUUUCAGACUGUUGUCAUCUCAUCAUUGGAUCUGGAAAAUGACACUUGUGUCUCAAUAGGCCAGAAGCUUUCUGUUUGCUCUGUGCACCUGAUAACAGCACACUCCCUGCAUUGCACGCUAUGGAGAAAUAACAACCACGACGGCACCAAAGGGCCUCAGCAAUUUGCAACGCUGACUGACGGAGCAGCCCUGGACAGCUGGGCUUCCUUGAAUGAGACUCCCUCCCUGGAAGUACACAGGUCUGCGUGACACCACUUGCUGGUGGCUGCAAGGGACGGGAAACUUGUGAGGACAGGGUCGCCUUUAGUUGUUUAUGUAGUGCCAAGGGGUCCCACCACCUCUUUUGGACUCAGAGUUUCCUAUCAAAACACACUCCCUAGAAUAGCUGAUGCAAAUUCCAUAGUAAGGGCUUAAUUUAAUACAAACUUCAUUACAGUCACAUCUUCCAUCUAGAUUUUAUUUCUUGACACCGUUUUCUUUGUGGGCAACUGUUAUCGGCAAAAGUCUUCACGGCCUGACCAGAUCCACGGGAAAAGAUACCACGGGCACACACAUUUUUCCUAGUCCUCUUCCUUUUAAAUGAGAAAUUCUGUAUAACAUUUUCCAUAAGUGAAAGAGAGGACUACUUCCUAGCUUUUUUUGGUUCUUUUUUUUUUUUUUU